UUCUAAAUUUAAAAAAAUGUUUACUUUGGCAGCACGAUACAGAGAAGAGUAGCAUGACCUCUGCACAAGGAUGAUGUGCAAAUCGUGAAGCACUCCAUAUUUUU